rnacentral:rRNA from 1 species
GAUGAACGCUGGCGGCGUGCCUAAUACAUGCAAGUCGAGCGAACAGACGAGGAGCUUGCUCCUCUGACGUUAGCGGCGGACGGGUGAGUAACACGUGGAUAACCUACCUAUAAGACUGGGAUAACUUCGGGAAACCGGAGCUAAUACCGGAUAAUAUAUUGAACCGCAUGGUUCAAUAGUGAAAGACGGUUUUGCUGUCACUUAUAGAUGGAUCCGCGCCGCAUUAGCUAGUUGGUAAGGUAACGGCUUACCAAGGCGACGAUGCGUAGCCGACCUGAGAGGGUGAUCGGCCACACUGGAACUGAGACACGGUCCAGACUCCUACGGGAGGCAGCAGUAGGGAAUCUUCCGCAAUGGGCGAAAGCCUGACGGAGCAACGCCGCGUGAGUGAUGAAGGUCUUCGGAUCGUAAAACUCUGUUAUUAGGGAAGAACAAAUGUGUAAGUAACUAUGCACGUCUUGACGGUACCCAAUCAGAAAGCCACGGCUAACUACGUG